rnacentral:rRNA from 1 species
AUUGAACGCUGGCGGAAUGCUUUACACAUGCAAGUCGAACGGCAGCACGGACUUCGGUCUGGUGGCGAGUGGCGAACGGGUGAGUAAUAUAUCGGAACGUGCCCAGUCGUGGGGGAUAACGUAGUGAAAAUUACGCUAAUACCGCAUACGAUCUACGGAUGAAAGCGGGGGAUCGCAAGACCUCGCGCGAUUGGAGCGGCCGAUAUCAGAUUAGGUAGUUGGUGAGGUAAAGGCUCACCAAGCCAACGAUCUGUAGCUGGUCUGAGAGGACGACCAGCCACACUGGGACUGAGACACGGCCCAGACUCCUACGGGAGGCAGCAGUGGGGAAUUUUGGACAAUGGACGCAAGUCUGAUCCAGCCAUUCCGCGUGCAGGACGAAGGCCUUCGGGUUGUAAACUGCUUUUGUACAGAACGAAAAGGUUUCUAUUAAUACUAGGGGCUCAUGACGGUACUGUAAGAAUAAGCACCGGCUAACUACGUGACAGCCGCCGCCGUAA